CUACGGGCUGCACCAGUGAGGGAUUUUGCGCAAUGGGGGGAACCCUGACGCAGCAACGCCGCGUGAGUGAAGAAGGCCCUUGGGUCGUAAAGCUCUGUCAACAGGGAAGAAGUUAUGGAUUUUUAAUAGAGAUUUGUAUUGACGGUACCUGUGAAGGAAGCACCGGCUAACUCCGUGCCAGCAGCCGCGGUAAUACGGGGGGUGCAAGCGUUAUUCGGAAUUAUUGGGCGUAAAGGGCGCGCAGGCGGCCGUGUCAGUCAGAUGUGAAAGGCCAGGGCUCAACCCUGGAAGUGAAUUUGAAACAGCAAGGCUUGAGUACGGUAGAGGAAAGGGGAAUUCCUGGUGUAGAGGUGAAAUUCGUAGAUAUCAGGAGGAACACCGGUGGCGAAGGCGCCUUUCUGGACCCGUACUGACGCUGAGGCGCGAAGGCGUGGGUAGCGAACAGGAUUAGAUACCCUUGUAGUC
rnacentral:rRNA from 1 species